GGCUUUUGGCCCGCACGUAGUUUUGCUGCCAGCUUUGCUGUGCUCCUGGUUCGCUGGGACCCUUAGGCGCUCGCUGUGUGACCUUGGGCAAAUGCGCUCACUUCUCUGAGCUUAGCAGCCUCUAGUAAAAUGGAGGCGCUGGUACCCGGCUGUAAGGCAAGCUGGGAGUAGCCUACCGUGGCGCUUCAGAGCUAAGACUGUAUUCCUCUGUGGGUAAUUUAAGGUAAACUCAAAAUAAUAAUAGUACCAUCUCCUAGGGUCGUUGUGAAGAUUAAAUGAAUUAAUAUUUGUAGAACAAUUUGAACCACGUUGUGUAUCACAUGGGAAAUGGUUUUUAAUUCUUUAUUAGUGAGGCUACAGGAGGUCUUGCUCCCUGAUUAAGUCCUCUCUGGCUUCCCCUUCCUCCUCCGUGUUUACUAUUUCCAAGCUUUUUGCACCUCAUCUUCUGACAGUCCUGGGCAACACUGAGUGUGAGGAACAUGAGAGGAGGCAGGGUAACUGAAUGGUUAAAAGCAUGGGUGGUCUUGACAUGGAAGCAGCUCAGCUGCAAACUGGCCCGUAGCAGAAUCCCAGGCUCCCGGGCUGGAUCCCUUGUCUGUGAGCCAGUGACUUUUUUAUGGGUAACGUGAUUCCUAGCACUAUCCACGAGCUGUGGCGAGAGGUACAUUUUUAAGGUGUGCCCAUGAUGUGCUUAGCAUGUGGAUGUUUACCGGUGGUGCUGCUGGUAUUGUCAUCUGAUUUUACUGCAUCUCCUGUUCUAGGGCCAUGCCGUAGGGACACUGUGAAGGGAAAACCCUCUAGUCUCAAGUUCUGGCCAGUCCUAUCUUGGCUAAAGGUCCCUUUUUUGGUGGAGGGGACCGUGGUGGGGUUUCUUUGGGAAACAUGCUAGGAUGACCCUUGGCAUUGCUGAGCAGUACACUCGUCUUCAGGACCUUUAUAUUCUCUGGUGUUCCCUCCCCACUCCAGUACUGGACCUUGUGAUGAUCCUGCUCCUGUAUUAGACAGUUUCAGAGACGGAGCCCGGAGGCUGCCGGGAAGGCCCUUCUUCAGGGCACCAGGUUAUAAGCACACCACCCCUUCACCUCUGCACCUUUGCUCAGGUUGUCUCCUCUACCUUGGAACCCCUUCCUUCACCUCAGUGUGCCAAAAAGUGUCCCAAGAAUGAGUCCUCCUCCAGGAGAGCGCCUGCUUUCCCAAGCAGGGAUCUUUCUGUGCCUUAACACUUGGUGUCGCUUAGUCUACUGUCAUCUGACAUCCCCCGACCCACACACAGAUCGUGAGCACCUAAAGGACGGAGUGAAGGCGUGGAGGAAGGAGCAAAUGAAGAGACCACUCAGCAACUGUCUGUCUGUCUCUACUUCCCCUGUGACUUGCUACCUCCCUGCUCAACAUGUUUCCCUGGCUUGUUUCCUCACACAGUCAGCUCAUUGGUUGUGCUUCUGCCCAGUUGCUGGCUGUGUGCUGGCCCCUUUCCCAGGGACGGAGGCAUGAGAGUCCAGUAUUAGCUUCCUGGAGCCCCCAAACUGGAGGGGAUACAAGAGGAAGGAUGAGUAGCAACAUCAAGUGAGGUACAGGAUGUGUAUAUACAAGAGCAGAGCUCAUGCCACAGGGGAAAGUGAGGGAGUGGAGAGCCCUUGGGGGUAAGGGCAUGGUGAGCAGGGUUUUGAAGACUGAAUAUCAAUUCACUGAAUAGAUGGCAGGGAUGGCCAUUCUUGGCAGGGCAAGAGCAGGUGUGAAAGCAGCAGACCGUCAGAGGAUGCUGACUGAAGGGACAGCCCCAGAGACUGGACUGCGCUCAGAGAUUGAUGGUGGAGCCCCAGUUUAGACUUUGGAGUUCCAGCUCUACUGGUUUUGUUUCUGUUUUGCCAAACACCCCUGAGCAUGUUCCUUCUGUUCUCUGAGCCCCAAGACCCAUGUCUAUAAAGUCCCCUUGUAGAUCAGCCUGGGGGAGGACGGGUGGAAGGAUGUAAAGGUUUAUCCACAUAACUGUACUGUACUAAUUCCUGAUGUCAGCAGUUCAGUCAAAUCCCCAACCCCACGGUCAGUGCCACUUGAGGACAAAGCAAAGUAGCCAGAAAAACAGACUUUACCUUUGCUUCACUCACCAUACCUGCCCAAACAGACCCCCAUUACCUGCUUGAAAUUCCACUUCUCUGCAUUCUCUCUAUGUGUUUGAUGGCCCCGGGAGGCUAUUGUGAGAGAUCAGUUCACUGUGAGCUCUAGAGCUAUAGACAUUGGAUCAAAGGUUAGACUGAUUAAUAGGGAUGUUGCUCCUCUGACCAGCUGACAUGCUAUAGCAGAGCUGGGGCAACAGAAUAUAACUCCAUCUAGGGAGGGAGCACCUGAGAAGGCCUGAGAGAGGGGGUACAAGCAGAAGCCUGGAGGGGUGGCUUGAAUCAGAAUGUGGCUAGCUAGCCUUUGUGAUUCACCUAACUGGUAGGGAUUUAGGAAGGAGAUGAGAUAAAGGGAGAGAGAAGAGACAGGUUAAAGAGAUAGGAUCACAAAGGCUCCCAGAGGCCAGGCACAGAAGUCAGUGUUUUAUUCAGUGUGCAGUGGGGAGCCAUUGGGAAUUUUUAAGCAGAUAAGGGACCUAAGGAAAUCUCAGCCUCCUUACGACCUAAGGCUGCUUGAAGCUUUAGGAGAAAUGGGGAGGUGGUGGAACCCGGGUAUUCAGCCUGGACACACUUCAUGUCCCCUCUCCAGUUUGUGCCCACACUGGCAGCUUUGUUCUCUGGAGGCUGACUUCAGUCCUGGGAGGAACUGGAGCUUUGCUGGGUUGAUUCCAAGCAGUUCCAGCCCCAGCCAGUCUGGAGGAAAAGAGCUCUCUGUGACUGGGGGACUGAUGGGGAGGUGCCAGGUGCACAUGCUCCAGCCGGUGCCAGGUGCGUGCUUGAGAGCACGCAGUUGGGCCCUUGGGGCUGAGGGGCGGUGCUCUGUAGGGCGGGUCUUAGCAACCAGAGCCUGGAGUGAGUAAGGCUGCCUGAGCCCGGAAAAGGUUCUUUUGCCUUUAAAGGUAAGCGUCCCUUGUAUCAGGGAGAAAAGCUUAUGCUGGGUCAGCAACUGCUGAUGCACAGGGGAACUGGCAGGUGCUGGAUCCGGAGAGCCCCUAAUCUGCAGAAUGUUUUGCAACUCAGAUUCUCCUGGACUGCAGAAAGUUCUCCAGCAUCCCUUUCUGACCCUUUCCUGAGCUCCUCCCUGGUCCUCUGCAGGUGGUGUCAUUGAUGUCACCAUCAGCUCAAUGCUGGAAGAUACUGAAGGAAGACUGCCUGCUCCACAUCAUCAGAGCACCAGAGCCUCUGGGAUAGGUACUUCACACGUACCAUACUUAACCCUUUCAUUGUCUUCCCCCCACCACUGCUAGUUUCCAUCAGAUAUGGUGUCUUCCUGACUCCUCUCUUUCUUCUUCAUUUCUAAUAUCUAGUCAGUCCUGUGGAUUUUGCUCCUCCAAAAGACUGUUGGAAGUCAGGAAUGGUAGCACAUGCCAGGUUACUUAGGAAGAUCUGUAAAGCCAGCCUGGGUGACCUAGGGAUACCCUUAAUGAUAUCCUAUCCUAAAGUUUAAAAAAAUGCACUGGGGGAUGUAGCUCAGUGUAAGACCUUGGGUUCCAUCCCUAGUACUGCAAAAACUAAAAACAAAACAAAAUGAUGAGACCCCAUCUCCUCUUGUCCAUCCUUGAAGUCCCUCCUCCAAGUGCAGGCCAGAGCCACUGCUCCUGCCUCCUCCCACCUCUUCCCAAGGAAGUCUCUUCAAAAUGCACAACUGACCAAACCACGGCCCCCUUAAACCUCUGUACACAGCCUGCAACAAGGAUAUCUCUCACAGAAAUCAUUUUGAGGCCAUAUGUGAAAGAGGGGGGCUGUGUAUAUAUGAAGUUUAAAAACAGGCAAGAAGCUGUAUGGGACUAGAGUGUGUAUCUGAAGAACCCUUCCCUUCUGGAAGGGAGGGUCUCCACUACAAGGAGAGCUGAUAAUCAGGGUGAGACAGGUGGCAACCAGAUCAGCACUUCUGGUGUUUUCUUUUUGCCCUAAACUUUGACAAGACUCAGCAUUGCAUAGUUACAUGGGUAUUUUGUCAUUGUGGAGUUUUUGCACUAAUAUUGAUUUUUCAAAAACAUUGCAUUAAACAGGACUUGGUAGCACACUCCUGUAAUUCUAACACUUGGGAGACUGAGGCAGGAGGAUUGCUGCCAAGUCAAGGCCAGCCUGAACUACAUAGUGAAACUCUGUCUCAAAAAAUUGAGGGGCCAGGAGUAUAGCAGUGGCACAAGGGCCUGCUUGGCAAGCACGAGGUCAUGAGUUCAAUUCCUGGUACAAAAAAAUUGCAUUAAAAUUAUAAUUUAUAUUGAUAACUCAGUUCUUUUUGGGAUUCUUCCUCUCCUCAAAUUUUACACAGCAGGAUAGCUCUUUGCUUUUAACAUAUUCCUGACUUUGGUAAUGUUGCUUUCUUAAUCAGGCUGCUGGUACACAGGUGCAUACUGUUUGUCUUUGCACAGGCAGGAUUUUUGCACUUUCCUGUGUGUAUAUUAUGCUUGAAUUAUUUGGGGGCAAGGGAGAAGGCUGAGCAUAGUGGUACACACCUGUAAUCCUAGCUACUCCAAAACUGAGGCAGAAGUUCUGCCUCUGAAUCAAAAGUUCAAAGUCAGCCUAGGUCAUUUAACAAGAUCUUGUCUCAAAAUAAAAAGGACUAGAGAUAUAACUCAGUGGUAGGUCACUUUCUUAGAGUAUAUGAGGUCCUAGGUUCUGUCCCUGGUACACACAAAGAAGGAGGAAAGAAAAAAGAUAUUGUAUUUAUAGUCUUCCUGGGGUUCCAGGGUAAUAUCUCCUGUCUGCUUCCUCCAGUCUUCCCUGGCACCAAAAAAGUAGCUGCUACCCACUGGGUUUCAAUACAUAAUUAUUGAAUGAAUGAAUAAGUAUUUUACUUACUCCCUAUGGGAACUCUAGGAGUAUUUUCCUCUUGAUUUUCUAAAAUUUGGGGAAAUAAAGGAAUUUGUGCCCAAAGUAUACAGACACUGAGUUUUUGCCCCUCCACGAAAUGAAAAACAAAACAACAUCCAACCCACAGUGUUUGUGCAGGUCCUUGACUCAGCCAGCACCAGCAGUUAAGCAGUUCACUGUGCCUGACUCUUAUCACUUAGAUUGCAAUUAUUUGAGCCUUAUCUUCCCUGGAAAAUAAUGACAUCUUCAGGUCAGAAGCUCCGGCGUGUCUCUCUUCCUCUGUCCGAUAAGUUAUCUGGCACAGGAAAUAAAGUAUACAUGUUAAUGAGUGAAAGAAUGAAGAAGGAGGUCCUGGGAAGCCUGUGGCAGGUAGAGCACAGAUUUGGGGGGUAGACUCGCUGGCUGUGUGUCUUUGGGUUAGUUCCUCUACCUGAGUCUCAAUUUCUCAGCUGGAAGAUGAGAAUAAUGUCAGUACUCACCUCGGAUUGUGAUAUUAAAAGGGAGAAUACGUCAGAGGCAGGGCUGACAUAUACUUAAAAAGGUAGCAUUAUUUCCAACUCUAUAGCCUCAAAGCCUGAUUUACUUUAAGGUAGCAAGCACCUACUUUGCUUCAUUUCCAUCUUUGUUUUUUGGUUUUUGAGACAGGGCCUCAUCCUCCUGCCUCAGCUUUCUGAGAGCUGGGAUAUGGCUAGAACUUUCUAACCAGGCAAAACACCUUCCCACAAACUUUUUUUAAAAAAUCUUUUCAAAUCUAUUUUAUUUUAAAGAGAAAAAAAUUUACAAACCACAAUGAUUAGAGCCUGACAGUGAUAUAUACAUUACAUAUUUGCAGUCCUUUCUUGAGUCUCGCCUGCACCUUUGGCUGAAGGCAGGACCAGAAUCAUUCACAGAUCCACAGUUGGGGGAACUGAGGCAGAGAAGUGGGGCUCCUUGCUUGAGACUGCAGUGAGGCAUCACAACAGAGCAUUUAGUCUAGAACCAACGUGAAAGUUAGCUGGUUAUCCAGAUAGUCAGCUGGAUACAUGCAUAGGAACAGUUUGGGAUCCUUAGGCAGGGUUUGAUGAGGGGACUGGGCCCCUUUGAAAAAUAGAGAGGAAGGGGGUCUCUGCAUAUCAUCAAGGAGCUGAGCUGACAGCCUGAGGUUUUGAGAUCUACUCUUGUGUAGCUACACUGUCCCAUAUAAGCCCCUCUUUUUGUUUGUUUGUUUUUAUUUUUGUUUUUGUCUUUUUGACACAGGGUCUUGCUGUGCAGUUCAAACUGGCCUUGAACUCACUUUGUAGCUCAGGCUGGUCUUGAAUUUACAAAGAUCCUCCUGCUUCAAUCUCCCAAAUGCUGGGAUUAUAGACGUGUGCCACCAUGCCUGGUUUAAAACCCUCUUUAGAUUACUUUUCUCCUCAAAAUCCCUAUUAGUCCAUCAAACCUAUCCCCCAAACAACAAAUCCAAUAACUAAUCAAGUAGUGACAUUUGGAGGUUGUAGAAAGGGGCCCCUACCCCAUAAAACAGGCCUACAGCCCCAAAUGUGUCCAUGUCCCAGUUCUGGGUGCCCCUAUUUCUCCAGAGUGACUUUGUACUGCUUCUUUGUGCAAUAAAGUUUUUGCUUUGGACUUGA